rnacentral:rRNA from 1 species
AUUGAACGCUGGCGGCAGGCUUAACACAUGCAAGUCGAGCGAGCGGCGGAAGGGUGAGUAAUGUCUGGACAACUGCCUGAUGGAGGGGGAUAACAACUGGAAACGGUAGCUAAUACCGCAUACCAUCGGAUGUGCCCAGAUGGGAUUAGCUAGUAGGAGGGGUAAAGGCUCACCUAGGCGACGAUCCCUAGCUGGUUGUAGAGGAUGACCAGCCACACUGGAACUGAGACACGGUCCAGACUCCUACGGGAGGCAGCAGUGGGGAAUAUUGCACAAUGGGCGCAAGCCUGAUGCAGCCAUGCCGCGUGUAUGAAGAAGGCCUUCGGUUUGUAAAGCACUUUCAGCGAGGAGGCGUUACUCGCAGAAGAAGCACCGGCUAACUCCGUGCCAGCAGCCGCGGUAAUUC